rnacentral:lncRNA from 1 species
UAAUGCUCAGCAAUCACUCAUUUCCAUGAGGAUCUGAGAUUCUGAAAAGAAAGUCCCAUCAUCAUCGUGGGUUCUCUUUUGUCAUUUCCAAUUCCAGGAGUUUCUCCUCUCACUAUGAAGUAGUUGAACAGCCAGAGUCUGUAUGGAUGGAAAGAGGGAAAUACAGCUGACAGGCUCAAAAGCAGGCAGAAGAUUAGCAAGUGCAUUCAAAACCACCUCUGCAGAAGAAACCUGCCAAUUGCAUUUA